rnacentral:lncRNA from 1 species
UGGCAACCUCACCACAAACGCACACCCAACAACCAUUCCAUUCCUCUCCAGGCAGCAGCACGUUGACAGCCCACAGAUGGAAACCACAGACCACGACGAAGUCCCAUACUCCACCAUCGCCCACGUUCGACGGGACAGGAUGAGCGACACCACGACAUAUGCCACGGUGACCCACACCCAGACCCGAUAGCACUGCAACAGGGAAAGGGCACAGGAGCCUUGUCCACAGAUGCCUUUUCUCUCCUGCAGAGUUCUUGUGCAGCCAUAACGUGGGGCUGCGGGGUGCACUUUGGGCUUCUCUGGAAUUUUCUGUCACAGGGAAGGGCUGUGUGUGUCUAGCCAAGAGGCUGAAGGACUCAUAUUUCUGUUUGCAAUAAAUUAAUACCUCUAAAAUAUAUCAG